GCGCUACUGUUGUCAAAUGAUGAUAGAACUUGCUACGAGGUAUCUCAUAUCCUGACAUUAUUGCUGUUUGAUGAACAAGCUAGAUUCUUCACAGGAACCCGAGGCGAUAGAAAGAUGGGACGCCGUGACACAGGGGUUGGCAGUGUUAAUGCAGCAGUACUGAUCUGUGGCGGUUCUCCUAAUGCUGUCUGAGUGUUGCCGGUCUUGGCAAAUCUGUCACUUGCACUGCAGAUGAGGGACGCGGUAUACAACACGGCUGGUGAUGGAUGCUAUCACAACGGUCCGUUCCGUGAAGGAGCACCCUGGGCAGAACCUCCAGCAUCUUCCACAGGCCAUUGACCAUCUCACCGAGCAACCGUUCCAAUUAACCCACCCAAAGCCGUGAGACGACAUUGACUUCAAGGAGCAAGUGUACGACAAGUUCAUUGACGCUCUAGUUAGCAACCUGGAAAGCGAUUUCCACACAUCCCCUUUGUUGGAAGCAGUCUGCGCAUUCAACCCUACCACCGUACCGGCUGGCGACCAAGCAGAGUAAAAUCCCAUUGCACAGACGAACUUCAGAUGCUGGCAGACCGAUUUACCCGCGUUCUUCAAGAUGCCAGCGAAGCCGCCUCUGACUACCUAGUGCUGAAAAACACCAUCACGCAGGACACGACACUCCGCCAGGCAACCACAACAGUCAUGAUCUAGAAGGUGGCCGGACCGUUGCGGGGCGCCAUGCCUAACCUAAGGUUAUUAGCUACUGCGGGCCUGCUUCUUCCAUCGUCAACGGCCGACUGCGAACGAGGGUUCUCGACCUUGAAGCGUGUUAAAACGCUCUGACGUACUAAAGAACAUACUACAGACUGAAACGUUAAACGCCAUCUUACGGAUGUCUAUGGAGGGCCCCACCGUGCCAACUUUAUGGAGACUUGGGUCGAGCAGAUGGUGACAAAAUGGGCCAAGGACGGUCACAGGCUCCUUGUUUAGAUUGACAAGUUUUAUAUGUUGUCUGACAUUCUGUGUGAAGUCACGGCGUCUAGAGUCGCAUCAUCAUCAUCUAUGUUGUAGCAUUCCUUUGUUCUUCUAUCAUGUGUUUUUUUCAUUUUGUUAUUUUAUGCA